rnacentral:rRNA from 1 species
AUGAACCGGUGCCCGUGCGAGUGGUACUUCCAGAAGUUCCUCAAGGAGGCCGUCCUCGAAAGCCCCGCCGAUGGCCCUAGCCCGAUGGCCGGUGCUAGCGGGGGCGGGGCCUCGCAGGUCAAGCAUACCGCCGCUGCGGUGGCGGCGGCGCCGGCGGUGACGGGCGCGGUGGUGGACCCGGUGGAGUACAACGCCAUGCUCAAGCAGAAGCUCGAGAAGGACCUCGCCGCCGUCACCAUGUGGAGGCGCUGCAUUGCCUGCUCCCUUCUAGGAAUCUGCAGAUGCAUCAAGGGGAUCUUCGACUGCUACCAGCAGGCCACCGGGACCAGCCUGUGGACCGAGCAGUAUGAGAAAAUAAUUAGGCACUAG